rnacentral:rRNA from 1 species
UACGUAGGGUGCGAGCGUUAAUCGGAAUUACUGAGCGUAAAGCGUGCGCAGGCGGUUUUGUAAGCCAGAUGUGAAAUCCCCGGGCUUAACCUGGGAAUGGCAUUUGGGACUGCAAGGCUUGAGUGCGGCAGAGGGGACUGGAAUUCCUGGUGUAGCAGUGAAAUGCGUAGAGAUCAGGAGGAAUACCGAUGGCGAAGGCAGGUCCCUGGGCUGACACUGACGCUCAUGCACGAAAGCGUGGGGAGCAAACAGG